rnacentral:tRNA from 1 species
GGGGAUGUAGCUCAGUGGCACAGCACCUGCCUGGCAAACAUGAGGCUCUGUGUUUGGUUCCCAGUAUCCCCC